rnacentral:rRNA from 1 species
UACGUAGGUGGCAAGCGUUAUCCGGAAUUAUUGGGCGUAAAGAGCGCGCAGGUGGUUAAUUAAGUCUGAUGUGAAAGCCCACGGCUUAACCGUGGAGGGUCAUUGGAAACUGGUUGACUUGAGUGCAGAAGAGGGAAGCGGAAUUCCAUGUGUAGCGGUGAAAUGCGUAGAGAUAUGGAGGAACACCAGUGGCGAAGGCGGCUUCCUGGUCUGCAACUGACACUGAGGCGCGAAAGCGUGGGGAGCAAACAGG